CCUACGGGAGGCAGCAGUGGGGGAUAUUGCACAAUGGGGGAAACCCUGAUGCAGCGACGCCGCGUGGGCGAAGAAGUAUUUCGGUAUGUAAAGCCCUAUCAGCAGGGAAGAAGAAAUGACGGUACCUGAGUAAGGAGCACCGGCUAAAUACGUGCCAGCAGCCGCGGUAAUACGUAUGGUGCAAGCGUUAUCCGGAUUUACUGGGUGUAAAGGGAGCGCAGGCGGCACGGCAAGCCUGAUGUGAAAGCCCGCGGCCCAACCGCGGGACUGCAGUGGGAACUACCGGGCUGGAGUGCCGGAGAGGUAGGCGGAAUUCCUAGUGUAGCGGUGAAAUGCGUAGAUAUUAGGAGGAACACCAGUGGCGAAGGCGGCUUACUGGACGGUGACUGACGCUGAGGCUCGAAAGCGUGGGGAGCAAACAGGAUUAGAUACCCGUGUAGUC
rnacentral:rRNA from 1 species